rnacentral:siRNA from 1 species
ACGGGAGAUAACUACUUGGCAUGG